GGCCCCUAUGCGAUGCCUACCCUGCCUACCCUAGUUCCGCUAGUGGUUGACGCUGUACUUCAGUUAUUGGCUCACUUGUAAAAUACAUCACAUUUGAAUGGAAUAGAGAUGGGAGUUAAAUGAAGAAAGUUCAUGAAAUAAUUCGAAAAUGUUGUACUAAAUGUAAAUUCAAUGUUAGUAAAUGUAGAAAAAAUUAGGAUUUUGUGUAUAAGGAGUUAUUUAGAAAAUACUUAUAUUUUAUAAAAUAUUUGUACAGGAAGUAUGACUAAUAAACAUAAAAAAGCAUAACAACUA